rnacentral:rRNA from 1 species
ACGUGAGGAAUCUGCCUUCAACACUGGGAUAACUCCGGGAAACCGGGGCUAAUACCGGAUACGAGACCUGCAGGCAUCUGCGGGUCUGGAAAGUUUUUCGGUUGAAGAUGACCUCGCGGCCUAUCAGCUUGUUGGUGAGGUAAUGGCUCACCAAGGCGACGACGGGUAGCCGGCCUGAGAGGGCGACCGGCCACACUGGGACUGAGACACGGCCCAGACUCCUACGGGAGGCAGCAGUGGGGAAUAUUGGGCAAUGGAGGGAACUCUGACCCAGCGACGCCGCGUGCGGGAUGAAGGCCUUCGGGUUGUAAACCGCUUUCAGCAAGGAAGAAGCGAAAGUGACGGUACUUGCAGAAGAAGCACCGGCUAACUAUGUGCCAGCAGCCGCGGUAAUACAUAGGGUGCAAGCGUUGUCCGGAAUUAUUGGGCGUAAAGAGCUCGUAGGUGGUUCGUCACGUCGGAUGUGAAAAUCUGGGGCUUAACCCCAGACCUGCAUUCGAUACGGGCGAGCUAGAGUGUGGUAGGGGAGACUGGAAUUCCUGGUGUAGCGGUGGAAUGCGCAGAUAUCAGGAGGAACACCAAUGGCGAAGGCAGGUCUCUGGGCCAUUACUGACACUGAGGAGCGAAAGCGUGGGGAGCGAACAGGAUUAGAUACCCUGGUAGUCCACGCCGUAAACGGUGGGCACUAGUUGUGGGAACCUUCCACGGUUUCUGCGACGCAGCUAACGCAUUAAGUGCCCCGCCUGGGGAGUACGAUCGCAAGAUUAAAACUCAAAGGAAUUGACGGGGCCCCGCACAAGC